GUACUUCUUCUAGGAAAAACAAAAUAGCCCAUGGCCACUUACUAAGGCAUGGGAAGAAGAUGCUAAACUCAAUGACGCGUGGAAAUUACUUCCUAAUGCGUGGGAAUCAUUUCAGUCAUGUUCCAUAAAUAUGACACGAUGUCAUUACACUAAAAUAAUCUUUAGCAGCUUGAACACUGCAGACCCAUACAGAUGAAACCCACACUGCAUGGGGACUAUUUUUAAACGUUGAUAUUAAUACAUUUUAGGAACUACAUGUUUUCGGCAUUUAAAACAUGACGUAAGCAGUCUCUGAGCGUGUGUUCGGCUGGUAGAGACACGUGUUUUCCAAUAACCCAGUUUAUAGCCAGGUUGUAGCCGCCCUCAGCCUCUGAUAAAUACUGACACCUGCUGGAAGAUGUGGAUUUAUGCAGGAAGAAGAUCUGGACCAGGAUGACCUGCAGAAUCACCAGGCCUAUCACCAGGCCGAUGGUCAGGCUGAGAGGCACAAGGCAGAGCUGGAAAUGAAAAAAUCAACCGCUGCCACACUGGCACUGCAGCCGCGAGGAGCGCUGUCUUACAAUAUGAUUCCGACGUUGGUGAGCAUGCUCAGAGCUCUCCCAUGCAGGACAGGAAGAACCAGCAAGUAGGCGAGGAGCAGGGCCAACAGGAAGUGGACAAAGUGGACAAUCACAUACCCUAAAAGGCACAUUAGAAAUGAGCAAAUGAUUAUUGUUGUACAACAGAUCCAGCAGUAUUUGUAGUUAUGGUGUAUUGGUGUCAACAUAGUUCACUCACAGAUGUUUUUGUUUUGAGUACAUAUUAAUUCCCUGUUGUUAUUCAUGAUAUACCAAUGCUUACCCCACAGUGUAAAGGCUAUUUGCCAUCCAGAGUAUCUUGCAAUGGAAGCCUGUGAAGAUGUGAUGGAAAUUGUUUGUGCAUUCACUGGGAACAGUCUAAUGAACCAACAGCGUGUGUAACUAUAUGCAUGAAGACGCUAAAUAGGAAAUGGUUCAUCUGUUCACGCAGGUGCACAUAUGCUGUGAUUAUGUCUGCGCAUCUGCAGCUAAUACGUCUGGCACAUCCAAACGUGUGUGUUUGUUUCUUACGACGCUGAGAGCAGAGCUCGGCUUGUGAAACCUGCUGGGCAGAAACCCCCUCUGUCCUUUCCACAGCCUCUUCAAGUGUUUCCUAUAACAUUGAUACUGUACAUCACAUGGUGGCUGCAAGUGAGGUUUCCUACAUGCUAAAACCAGUUAUUAACAUCAAUACAUGAAAUAUUUUAACAGGUAUUAUUCCAGGUGUGAUUUUAUUUUUGGUCGGUCACCUGUAGCAUGCCAAAACGUGGAAGGUGUAGGCUACGGAGUUGAGACUAGCAAAGAUGGUGGUGGCCAGCCAACACCCUGAAAACGUACAGACAACAUAACAGAUCUGGUGCAAACGUGUUCUAUAUGAUGUCGGACCAAACAAACAGGGCAUCGGCCCAACUCACUUCUAGCCACAGCAAUGAAUUCCUCCAGCUGUGUUACCAUGGCGCCCAGAGCUUCAGUCUGGUUGCUCGACGUGAUCAGGUGGCUCAGAGUGUUCUUCCAUUCCUCUACUCUGGCGAAAGCCACAUUACUGAGACUGUAGUCUGCCAGAGUCAUCUAGGGGAAGUCCAAAGUCAAAGGAACACUACAACCUACAGAAGGUGAAUGGAAUCAUGCUUCUGUGUUGCUGUGCUUACUAUGUAGAGGCCUAUGAGGGAAAUGAUGACUGUGCCGAUUAUCCUGUUGGGGAACUUGAAGUAUGGAUCCCACUCAUAAACUCUCCUCUGAAACCAGCCGAGUGGUGCACUGCAAGACCAACAGCUGCAGGUGUAUUUGAACAGCUUUAACCAGAAUGUAGAGAAAUCGACCCAAGAGGAAAACGAGGGAGAGGAUGCACGGCCACUGGACAAUAAUCUUCUGGUCAGAGAGUAGAGUAUGCCCAGCACGGCCCCUGCUGUUCUGAAGGGUGUGGACAGACAAGCAAAGAAAGGGAAAUACACCAGGCCCACUUCUAUGGCUCCAACCAGGUACACGAUAGCUGUGGAUGGGCAACUUACUGCAGGAAGGAGUGAGAGGUGCAGGAACAGGUCAAUAGAGAGACCAUUCUGACAGACCUGAACCACGGACACGCUGCUGGAGGAACAGUGAACACAGCCACCACAACAGAGAUAAAGAAAGCGACUGCAGUGACACUGUACCACUUCUGUUUCCUGGUUUCAACCAUGUGACUCAACCGUCUGACCUUUGAACCCUGCACACAGCUCCUCAUGUCUCUGUCUUUCAUGUUACGGCGU